GGUUUAAUAGUCAAAUAUGAUUUUAAAUUGCAAAUUUAAAGGUGAACUGGGUUUUUAAGCCU
rnacentral:tRNA from 1 species